rnacentral:rRNA from 1 species
GAGGCAGCAGUAGGGAAUCUUCCGCAAUGGACGAAAGUCUGACGAGAGCAACGCCGCGUGAGCGAAGAAGGUCUUCGGAUCGUAAAGCUCUGUUGUCAGGGAAGAACAAGUACCGUUCGAACAGGGCGGUACCUUGACGGUACUGACGAGGAAGCGACGGCUAACUACGUGCCACCAGCCGCGGUAAU